rnacentral:lncRNA from 1 species
CACUGUACAGCAAGGGGGUCAGGUUAUCCUUACAUGUAUACAUUACAAUUACAGUUUUUCCCCCACCAUUUCUUCUGUUGCAACAUGAGUAUCUAGACAUAGUUCUCAAUGCUAUUCAGCAGGAUCUCCUUGUAAAUCUAUUCUAGGUUGUGACUGAUAAGCCCAAGCUCCCGAUCCCUCCCACUCCCUCCCCCUCCCAUCAGGCAACCACAAGUCUCUUCUCCAAGUCCAUGAUUUUCUUUUCUGAGGAGAUGUUCAUUUGUGCUGGAUAUUAGAUUCCAGUUAUAAGUGAUAUCAUAUGGUAUUUGUCUUUGUCUUUCUGGCUCAUUUCACUCAGUAUGAGAUUCUCUAGUUCCACCCAUGUUGCUGCAAAUGGCAUGAUGUCAUCCUUUUUUAUGGCUGAGUAGUAUUCCAUCGUGAAUUUUUCAUUUGAAUCUUUUCCAGACUCAGUGGAGCUCCCUCGGGGACAAUCUUGUAUCAUGGAGUUUUCCUCUCUUCCACAAGUCUGUCCUGUAUCUCAUUCAUUUACUAAGCAGGCUUUUAGUAAGUACAUUUUGUUUCAGUAUUGCUGAGUAUUAAGAUGACACAGUUGAUUCAGAUGUAGUUCUUGCCUUCAAGGAACUUGAGACUUGUAGCCAAGAGAUUUAUUUGCCAGUUCAGAGGAGGAAGAGAUUCGAUUAAUUUGACGAGUUUGUGUGAAAUGAGUGGGUAAAUGACAGUGUCAUCAAGUAUUGUUGGAUAUGGUCAAGAAUUGUGGUCUUCAGAGAAGUAAUUCAGUACCCUUCUUGAGAGAGGCCAAACUUCUUUUGCCUUUACAUCUCUCUGAGUACCUCCAAAUGAUUCCCUUCAAAACUAAACAAACAGAAUUUGGAGAUGGAAAUCUUUGAGGCUGAUGCAAACAUCAUUAGAAAUAUAUGCUCUUCUAUUUACUUGCUGCCUCCCUCUCUCUCUCUUUUUUUUUUUUUUUUUUUUUUGUCUUUUCUAGGUUCCCAGGCUAGGGGUCUAAUCGGAGCUCCAGCUGCCGGGCUACACCAGAGCCACUGCAACGCUGGAUCUGAGCUGAGUCUGUGACCUACAUCACAGCUCACGGCAACGCCGGAUCCUUAAGCCACUGAGUGAGGGCAGGGAUCAAACCCGCAACCUCAGGGUUCCCAGUCGAAUAUGCUAACCACUGCGUUACAACGGGAACUCCUAUUUACUUGUUAAAGAGAAUAAUAUACACCUUUCCCACUUUUGUUUAUUCGAUUUUUACGUUUUUGUACGAUAUUAUAUUUUCAAGUACAGAGAAAUUUUCCACUCUGUCCACUCUUUUUUUUUUAAAUUUUGUAACACUUAUAUCCUAGUUGAUCUUUUCAGUUUUAUUUCUCACUUUUUCUCUGUAAACACUUUAUGCUCCAUGAUCAUCCAACAUUCUUUACAUACUCUGUAUCCCCCACUCUCUGUCUUUGUUCACAUUAUUCUUCUCUCCAUCACCUGACACAAUUCUGUCUCAUGAUUUCAUGCAUAAAUCAGGCUUAGGUUUUGAAAUUCAACUAAAAUGUUGAUCACUCUAUGAAAAAGUUUUUUUUUUUUUAAUCACCUUUCAGCUGGAAAUUCUUUCAGAUUCCUAAAGAGGUUGUCUGUACUUAUUUUUACAGAUUUUACUACUUGACACCUUAUGUAGUUAUUAUUCUCAACAUUUAUCUGGCUUUUUAGAGCUGUUUAAGGGCAUUCAAGAAGAAUGUUCUAGAAGUUCCAUCUCAUGUCUCCCAUAAAAGCCCCUGCUCAAGACUUUAGAUCUGGUCAGUGCACCACAAUGUCUAGCACGAGGUGUUUGUAUGUCUGGGGGCCAAGUGGGUGAACUGGAAGUCAAAAUGAUGAGGUUAUAAAAGUUAAUUUUCGAGCAUUGUGGUGCACUCCUGGGCAUGGAUCCAGAAAAUACCAUAAUUCAAAAGGAUACACACACUACAAUGUUCACUGAGGCACUAUUACAGUAGCCAAGACAUGAAAGCAAUCUAAAUGUCCAUCAACAGAGGAUUGGAUAAAGAUGUGGUACAUAUAUGCAGUGGAAUAUUACUCAGCCAUAAAAAGUAAAAAAAUAAUGCCUUUUGCAGCAAUAUGAAUGGACCUAGAAAUUAUCAUACUAAGUGAAGUAAGUUAGAGAAAA